UACGUAGGGUGCAAGCGUUGUCCGGAAUUAUUGGGCGUAAAGAGCUCGUAGGCGGUUUGUUGCGUCGGCUGUGAAAUCCCGAGGCUCAACCUCGGGUCUGCAGUCGAUACGAGCAAACUAGAGUGUUGCAGGGGAGACUGGAAUUCCUGGUGUAGCGGUGAAAUGCGCAGAUAUCAGGAGGAACACCGGUGGCGAAGGCGGGUCUCCGGGCAGCAACUGACGCUGAGGAGCGAAAGCGUGGGGAGCGAACAGG
rnacentral:rRNA from 1 species